rnacentral:rRNA from 1 species
UACGAGGGGUCCUAGCGUUGUUCGGAAUCAUUGGGCGUAAAGCGGGUGUAGGCGGCUCGAUCAGUCAGAUGUGAAAUCCCUGGGCUCAACCCAGGACGUGCAUUUGAUACUGUCGAGCUUGAGUAUUGGAUAGGUUCGUAGAAUUUCUGGUGUAGCGGUGAAAUGCGUAGAUAUCAGAAGGAAUAUCGGUGGCGAAGGCAGCCAUCUGGCCUAAUACUGACGCUGAGGUACGAAAGCAUGGGGAGCAAACAGG